rnacentral:ribozyme from 12 species
GAGACGGCGCAGUUCUCGAGCCCGGCGCUCAUCGGCACGGGCGAGAGCACGGCAAAGCCCUUCUGGGGCAAAGCGAAGUGGCAGA